UACGUAGGGUGCGAGCGUUAAUCGGAAUUACUGGGCGUAAAGCGUGCGCAGGCGGUUUUUUAAGCCAGACGUGAAAGCCCCGGGCUUAACCUGGGAAUGGCGUUUGGGACUGGAAGGCUGGAGUACGGCAGAGGGAGGUGGAAUUCCACGUGUAGCAGUGAAAUGCGUAGAGAUGAUGGAGGAACACCGAUGGCGAAGGCAGCCUCCUGGGCCAGUACUGACGCUCAUGCACGAAAGCGUGGGGAGCAAACAGG
rnacentral:rRNA from 1 species